rnacentral:tRNA from 1 species
GCAGGGGUUCCAGAGCCUGGUCAAAUGGGCAGGGUUUAGGACCCUGUGGCUUAGCGCCUUCGGGGGUUCAAUCCACCUUUUUCUUUUGUAAAAGAAAAAGAGUGGCCGAAAAAGAAAACAAGACUCGGCCGAGCUGGUCUUUAGAACAAAUCCCUCCCCCUGCA